rnacentral:rRNA from 1 species
ACGAACGCUGGCGGCGUGCUUAACACAUGCAAGUCGAACGGUGAAGCGCCUUCCUUUUUGGUGGGUGUGGAUGAGUGGCGCACGGGUGAGUAACACGUGAGUAACCUGCCCCCUUCUUCUGGAUAACCGCAUGAAAGUGUGGCUAAUAUGGGAUAUUCUGGGUCUGUCGCAUGAUGGGUCUGGGAAAGAUAUUGUUUCGGUGGGGGAUGGGCUCGCGGCCUAUCAGCUUGUUGGUGGGGUGAUGGCCUACCAAGGCGGUGACGGGUAGCCGGCCUGAGAGGGUGGACGGUCACACUGGGACUGAGACACGGCCCAGACUCCUACGGGAGGCAGCAGUGGGGAAUAUUGCACAAUGGGCGCAAGCCUGAUGCAGCGACGCCGCGUGAGGGAUGGAGGCCUUCGGGUUGUGAACCUCUUUCGCCAGUGAAGCAGGCCUGCCUCGUUUGUGGGUGGGUUGACGGUAGCUGGAUAAGAAGCGCCGGCUAACUACGUG